rnacentral:lncRNA from 1 species
AUGCUUCUGCAAGAAGAUACGGCUACAGAAAAGGCUAAUGAAAUCUUGUCAACAGAUGCAGAGGCAUCACCUUGUGUUACAGACCAGAUAGACUUAAAUCCCACCUUAUACGAUUUCUUGUUAGUUCUUAUGGAAGACUGCAUUACUUUGUGUGUGGCGUGCUGCCUUAGCAAUACACCUGUCUAUCCAGAGAGGCGAUUUUUCUUCCGCGGCAUUGGAAAUGUCACCUUAAAUUGUCACUUGAAGGUAGAAUUGCUCCUGAGCCAAAUGAUACUGUAUAUAACUGCAAACAUCGUCUCCCCCAGGAGAGGUCCGGCGCCGUUCGGCAGCACCGCUCUGGCCCUGACAGCCAGUGCUCGCACCCCAGUCCUGCCAUUGAGGACUUGUAGCCAAAUUUAAAAGUUUGAAGUUCUCGCUUCACCUCUGGAGGGAUUUUACUCAAAUCCUCACAGCACCUCCUGCUUGCUUGAACAGGAAGUCGGACACCUACCCUUAACAUGAAUGGCCGCCCAGCAUCCAAGAGGAGCUACAAUGUGAUUUGAAUUCAUUUCUCUGGCAGACGCAUUCAAAACAAAGGAGUCGAGCUGACCUUUCCAGAACAACUUGUAUCAGGAAUACAGAUUCAGGAAGUCUUGGGUUUCCUUCCCCCUCACAUUUUAUCCCAUGGUAAGACCCCAAGUGCUCUGACCCUCUGCACAGAACACAAAGCAUUGUUUUCGCAGUUAAUUUGCAAAUGAGCAACGCUGACAAACAGCAUACAAAGCAUCCUUCAGGAACUGGGUCGUUUUUCCCCAUUAUCCUGGGAGUAAACCAACAGAAGAUCUCAUGCAGAGCAAGCAGAAGGAAGAGCUCAAUGUGGACCAGAUGCUCCACCAUGCGUACCUGAGUCCAUCCCGACAGCUUGGCACCGCUCCGCCAACCGCUGACCGGGGACAUCAGCUCCUAUCCAGGAACGCUGACAAAUCCCUUUCCCUUUCCAUUCUCACUCCUACGUUUCCAUUGGUAUUAUUUGUUCUGAAUUAAUUCACAGCUAAUCAACUACUUAACAAAGGAACAACACGCCAGACAGCAGCUUUUGCACUUGCUUCCUAAUCCUCAUAUAGUAAGCGUGUAUCCACUCCAUGUUUGGAGAGAAAGGUCAGUCAAUGGUUUGCACAGAAGAGAAAGAGACAGAAGAUCUCGAUCUCAUUCCUGAGUUUGCUACACCACUGGGCAAAGCACUGCCUGACCCAAACAACACAUCCAUAUAACAGGAAUAAUUAAACUACCAUUGACAAAGUCAAGCAAGUAAAGUGUUUUCUGAUCCCUGAUUGCCCAGCACUAUGAAAGAAUAAAGCGUACUGCUGCAGAGAGGAAAAUCA